UCCCUUCCCAACCUAAAUCCCAAAUUCCUCUCCUCUCCUCUCGAUAGCAUGACGGAGAGCCCCGUUUACGGCGCGGGCAGAAGCGUCGGCUCCCCCGUCAGCCGCGGCAAGGUUGGGCGCCGCACCCGCGGCGCCGGCGGUGCUAUCAGUGGCUGGUGGUGUGGCACCGCGGCGACGGCGAGCCGUGCCUCCGGCCAGAGACCGGGCGUGUGCUCCUCGCUCCCACGCUGACGAUGGACCUGCUGCAGACUCGCGCAGCCACGUGCUCUAGCGACGGCAGUUGGAGACCGGCAGUGCUGCUCGAUGUCCUCGCGAAGAAGUGCCGCGUCAAGCCGACGGAGUUGGGCAUGGAGGAGGCCAGCCCGCCGGCAUUACGUGCACACAUCGCUUACACACUUGGAUCUGCAGCAGCGUGGAUACACUGGGCCUGCCGAGGCCGACGGCUCAAUCUGUAUUACGUACUAUAGUAGUGAAUUAGGAUGUCACUAUGUCAAGUGGAAGAGGAAAAUUGCCAAACUGGCAUGCUAUAUAAUGAAAUUUGUAUGCUACCUUUUCUUGGAAAGUUGCAUCCUAUGUAAAUAUGGCCAGUUAUGUAAUCAAGUUGAACUGGG
rnacentral:rRNA from 1 species